UCAGAAUCAUCGUUCCAAUGCAAAAAAACAGUAGGAAAAUUAAUGCAGCCGCACUUAAGGAAAUCAGGACGUGAUCCAGCAGCUUGGACUCGCAUUCUUCAUGGGCAUCAAACUCUGAAGUCAAAUGAAGCUUUUUUUCACCCCUGACGAUCAAAAUGGUUCCAUUGCUGGACUUGGAUUCCUGCAUCGACUGUGAGUCAAGAGAAUUCCACUCGCAGUAAUACAAGUCUGUGUCUUCGAGCUGCAGCAGGGACAGUUGCAGGGUCAGCUCAAUGCCCUGCUUGACAUUCCUGUUCGGAGUCACCUGAAUUCGCCCUUUAAAUUCUGUAGCCGUAGUAUCUUUCAUUACUUCUCCUUUGUUUAGGGACAGGAACACAAUGUCCCUUUUGCUGUGGAAUCUCCUACGCAGGCAGAGCCCCAUCACUUCUGUUGAGGAUGUGGAGCAUUUGAUCUCAGCAGAGGAGUUGACUUUUGCGCGAUGGGUGGAAGCGGGACUUUGGAGAACUGCAUGAGAGAUAGAUGGUAAUGAACAUCAAGCCCAGUGCACUGAAGUGGAUUCAGGCAGAGAGGUAAUACUUAUGAUAUGAGUGAUAUGAAGACCAGCGUUAAAAGCACAAGAUGAAAGUGAAUUUUUAUUUAGGUGGAUUUUUAUAUUUUACAGCAGAGUUAAUAUUUAUACAUGUAAAUUAGUGGCUUCCUGCUUUUCAUGUUUGCGAUUUGAAAAGCUACAAAGCUGUCUAGUUGU